rnacentral:rRNA from 1 species
GACGAACGCUGGCGGCGUGCCUAAUACAUGCAAGUCGAACGCAGUGGGGACGGGUGAGUAACACGUGGGUAACCUCCCAUCAGAGGGGAUAACACUUGGAAACAGGUGCUAAACCGAUCCUGAUGGAUGGACCCGCUGUGCAUUAGCUAGUUGGUGAGGUAACGGCUCACCCAGGCCAAGUUGCAUAGCCGACCUGAGGGGGUGGUCGGUCAACUGGGGACUGAGACACGGCCCAGACUCCUACGGGAGCAAGUAGUAGGGAAUCUUCGGCAAUGGACGAAAGUCUUACCGAGCAACGCCGCGUGAGGGAAGAAGGUUUUCGGAUCGUAAAACUCUGUUGUUAGAGAAGCGGUAUCUAACCAGAAAGCCACGGCUAACUACGUGCCAGCCGCCGCGGUAAUUC